rnacentral:rRNA from 1 species
CCAAUAGCGUAUAUUAAAGUUGUUGCAGUUAAAAAGCUCGUAGUUGAAUUUCGAGAUCAGUACGCUGGUCGUGCCUUCGGUAUGCACUGGUGUCACUGGUUUCUCCCUUCUGAAGAACUGUCAUGCCAUUCAGUUGGUGUGGCGGGGAAUCAGGACUGUUACUUUGAAAAAAUUAGAGUGUUUAAAGCAGGCUCGCGCUUGAAUACAUUAGCAUGGAAUAAUGAAAUAGGACGUUUGACCCUAUUUUGUUGGUUUCUAGGAUCGACGUAAUGAUUAAUAGGGAUAGUUGGGGGCAUUAGUAUUCAAUUGUCAGAGGUGAAAUUCUUGGAUUUAUUGAAGACUAACUACUGCGAAAGCAUUUGCCAAGGAUGUUUUCAUUAAUUAAGAACGAAAGUUAGGGGAUCGAAGACGAUCAGAUACCGUCGUAGUCUUAACCAUAAACUAUGCCGACUAGGGAUCGGAUGAUGUUAAUUUUUUAAUGACUCAUUCGGCGCCUUACG